rnacentral:rRNA from 1 species
GAUGAACGCUAGCUACAGGCUUAACACAUGCAAGUCGAGGGGAGACGAUAUUGGAAGCUUGCUUCCGAUAGGCGUCGACCGGCGCACGGGUGAGUAACGCGUAUCCAACCUGCCCACCACUUGGGGAUAACCUUGCGAAAGUAAGACUAAUACCCAAUGAUAUCUCUAGAAGACAUCUGAAGGAGAUUAAAGAUUUAUCGGUGAUGGAUGGGGAUGCGUCUGAUUAGCUUGUUGGCGGGGUAACGGACCACCAAGGCGACGAUCAGUAGGGGUUCUGAGAGGAAAGUCCCCCACAUUGGAACCGAGAUACGGUCCAAACUCCUACGGGAGGCAGCAGUGAGGAAUAUUGGUCAAUGGGCGAGAGCCUGAACCAGCCAAGUAGCGUGCAGGAUGACGGCCCUAUGGGUUGUAAACUGCUUUUAUAAGGGAAUAAAGUGAGCCUCGUGAGGCUUUUUGCAUGUACCUUAUGAAUAAGGACCGGCUAAUUCCGUGCCAGCAGCCGCCGUAA